UUGGAUCUGGAGUUCGAGAAGGACAUCAUUGGUAGACACCUUUCAUAUGCUUUUUACUCCAGGAAGUUAAGUAAUGGUGAGUUUGUUGACAGAAAGUGGUUGGUUUACCACAAAGGUGCAAACAAAGUAUAUUGUUUUUGUUGCAAGUUGUUCAAAUCAAAACUGAGCAAGUCUAUGCUGGCAUCUGACGGAUUGAAUAACCGGAAG
rnacentral:rRNA from 1 species